GAUGAACGCUGGCGGCGUGCCUAAUACAUGCAAGUCGAGCGAAUGGAUUGAGAGCUUGCUCUCAAGAAGUUAGCGGCGGACGGGUGAGUAACACGUGGGUAACCUGCCCAUAAGACUGGGAUAACUCCGGGAAACCGGGGCUAAUACCGGAUAACAUUUUGAACCGCAUGGUUCGAAAUUGAAAGGCGGCUUCGGCUGUCACUUAUGGAUGGACCCGCGUCGCAUUAGCUAGUUGGUGAGGUAACGGCUCACCAAGGCAACGAGGCGUAGCCGACCUGAGUGGGUGAUCGGCCACACUGGGACUGAGACACGGCCCAGACACCUACGGGAGGCAGCAGUAGGGAAUCUUCCGCAAUGGACGAAAGUCUGACGGAGCAACGCCGCGUGAGUGAUGAAGGCUUUCGGGUCGUAAAACUCUGUUGUUAGGGAAGAACAAGUGCUAGUUGAAUAAGCUGGCACCUUGACGGUACCUAACCAGAAAGCCACGGCUAACUACGUGCCAGCAGCCGCCGCGG
rnacentral:rRNA from 1 species